GUCCCUACGGGGGGCAGCAGUGGGGGAUAUUGGACAAUGGGGGAAACCCUGAUCCAGCGAUGCCGCGUGAGGGAAGAAGGUUUUCGGAUUGUAAACCUCUGUGGAGGGGGACGAUAAUGACGGUACCCCUUUAGGAAGCCACGGCUAACUACGUGCCAGCAGCCGCGGUAAUACGUAGGUGGCGAGCGUUGUCCGGAAUUACUGGGUGUAAAGGGAGUGUAGGCGGGAAAGCAAGUCAGAAGUGAAAACUAUGGGCUUAACCCCGGUACUGCAUUUGAAACUGUCCGGCUGGAGUGCAGGAGAGG
rnacentral:rRNA from 1 species